AACGAACGCUGGCGGCAUGCCUAACACAUGCAAGUCGAACGAGACCUUCGGGUCUAGUGGCGCACGGGUGCGUAACGCGUGGGAAUCUGCCCUUGGGUUCGGAAUAACUCAGAGAAAUUUGAGCUAAUACCGGAUGAUGACGUAAGUCCAAAGAUUUAUCGCCCAAGGAUGAGCCCGCGUAAGAUUAGGUAGUUGGUGGGGUAAAAGCCUACCAAGCCGACGAUCUUUAGCUGGUCUGAGAGGAUGAUCAGCCACACUGGGACUCAGACACGGCCCAAACUCCUACGGGAGGCAGCAGUGGGGAAUAUUGGACAAUGGGCGAAAGCCUGAUCCAGCAAUGCCGCGGGAGUGAUGAAGGCCCUAGGUGUGUAAAGCUCUUUUACCCGGGAUGAUAAUGACAGUACCGGGAGAAUAAGCCCCGGCUAACUCCGUGCCAGCCGCCGCCGUAA
rnacentral:rRNA from 1 species